rnacentral:lncRNA from 1 species
GGUUAUCUAACAGCCUGUCACCUUUGUCUUCGUUUGCAGCAGUGUGAAGAAACCUGAACUUCUACAGACUGGAACCAUAUCAUGUUUACCAACAAAUCCAGGUUCUGUUUGGAAUUUGCGAUGGUUGGGUUUGAGUAUGAAGUUUUUGAGUUCUUCAGAGUGGCCAGUAUUGUAAAACAUCCUGCACUACUAUGAGAGGCACUGCAUGACCGAGCCAAUCUGGUACCCACCGUCAUGGCUCACUGAAGAAUAAUUACCCGCCUGUGAAGGAAAUUCAGACACUGAGUUGCGAUGAGUAGGCCUACAGUGCCCUAUAAGAGCGUGACCAAGGGGAUGAGCACUCUGCCUGUACAGCCAGUUCUCUCGGGUUUCAACUCAAGUCGUCUCAUCAUGAACGAAAUCUCACCUGCUAGUUAACUCAAACUUGACUGAGAUGUUGUAUAUCCCUGGAACUACAGGACUACUUGCCUUCCGCUUCGAGAACACGCUGAUCAUAUCACCUGCAUUAAUGUGGUUGUAGAUGACCAGUUGUUUUCGCAUCAUCUUGCAAAUCUGAUCUGGAGAAUUUAACCAUUUCUCUCUAGAGAAAUCAUAUACAUGCUAAUUCAGUCCUUUACGAUCUCAGGAAUUGACCACUGCAUCUACUUUCUGUCUGCUCUUUCA